AGUGAACGCUGGCGGUAGGCCUAACACAUGCAAGUCGAACGGCAGCACAGUAAGAGCUUGCUCUUACGGGUGGCGAGUGGCGGACGGGUGAGGAAUACAUCGGCAUCUACUUUUUCGUGGGGGAUAACGUAGGGAAACUUACGCUAAUACCGCAUACGACCUACGGGUGAAAGCAGGGGAUCUUCGGACCUUGCGCGAUUGUAUGAGCCGAUGUCGGAUUAGCUAGUUGGCGGGGUAAAGGCCCACCAAGGCGACGAUGCGUAGCUGGUCUGAGAGGAUGAUCAGCCACACUGGAACUGAGACACGGUCCAGACUCCUACGGGAGGCAGCAGUGGGGAAUAUUCGGCAAUGGGCGAAAGCCUGACCGAGCAACACCGCGUGAGUGAUGAAGGCCUUCGGGUUGUAAAGCCCUUUUGUUGGGAAAGAAAAGCAGCAGGUUAAUAUCCCGCUGUUUUGACGGUACCCAAAGAAUAAGCACCGGCUAACUUCGUG
rnacentral:rRNA from 1 species